UUUGAUGUUGGUCCUGUGUGUAACACUGUAGAUUUGGAACACAGAACUACAGACCAGGAUGUUGCGUAUUACAAAGGAAUAUACAUUAAAGCAUAAAUACUCUCAGGAAGAAGAUAUCAUUAUUGAAGAGAAAUUCACCUGAAAUUCAAGGAUAUUUUCAAUAAGAUGCCACAAGGACAAUGUUCUGAAAAGUGUUUUGAUGGAUUCAGAAAAGCACAGAGGGAAGGAUACCAAGAAUGUUGCCAUGACUGUGUGCCGUGCUCAGAAGGAGAAAUAUCGAAUACAUCUGCCAAGACUAUCACGGUUUGCAUCGCUUUUAAGGCCACAAGACCUGGAAGCUACUGGAGAAAAUGGAUGGGAGUCAAACUACCAAAUUCCUUAGUGGUGAUCUGCUCAUCUGUCCAGGUCCUGAAUAGUGUCAUCUGGUUGUCAGUUUCUCCUCCUUUUCAAGAGUUUAACAUGGACACAUAUCCUAGGACUAUCAUCAUCCAAUGUAAUGAGGGUUCCGUGCUGGCCUUUUAUUUCAUGUUGGGUUACAUGGGAUUCCUGGCAGCUGUGAGCUUUGCUCUAGCUUUCAUGGUGAGGACAUUACCUGAUAUCUAUAAUGAGGCCACAUACAUCACAUUCAGCAUGCUGGUGUUCUGCAGUGUGUGGAUCUGUGCUAUACCGGCCUAUCUGAGCAGUAAGGGGAAACUAAUGGUCAUUGUAGAGGUGUUUGCUAUAUUAGCCUCAUGUAUUGGGGUAUUAGGCUGCAUAUUUUUCCCUAAAUGCUACAAUAUACUGAUGACACCUGAAAUGAACAAAAAAGAUCUCAUUCUCCAUGGAAAACACAAUUCCUCUUAAUAUGAUCUGAUAUCUUAUUUUAUGAUAAACACAUCUGUAGACAAUGAACUUGAUGCUUAGAUGUUUACAAUUAGCUUAAUUUAUGUUUAAUAGUAUCACAUCCUGAAGUAACACAUUUUUGCACAUAUGUCAGCAGAAGAGUUUGAAUUACGGCAAGCAUGAAAAUAGCCCAUUUAUGUUCAGCUGGAGAGGUGGAAAUAUGUGUAUGUGUCUGCACUAGGUGGAUAUCUACUAUUUAUAUCAGAUAUAUACUGUACAUCUAAGCCAGUGGUUUCCAAACUUUUUUGAAUCACGGCACCCUAGAACACUGGUUCUCAAACUCGGUCCUCGGGACCCCACACAGUGCAUGUUUUGCAGGUCUCCUCACAGAAUCGCAAGUGAAAUAAUUAACUCCACCUGUGGACCUUUUAAAAUGUGUCAGUGAGUAAUUAAUACACCUGUG